AAAAAUUUAGUUAAUUAAUAACAUUAGAUUGUCAUUCUAAAAUUAUUUUCAUAGAUAAUUUUUA
rnacentral:tRNA from 1 species